rnacentral:tRNA from 1 species
GAUUCAUUAGCUCAGUAGGUAGAGCACAUCCCUUUUAAGGAUGGGGUCCUGGGUUCGAGCCCCAGAUGGAUCAC